rnacentral:rRNA from 1 species
AUUGAACGCUGGCGGCAUGCUUUACACAUGCAAGUCGAGCGGUAACAGGCCUUCGGGUGCUGACGAGUGGCGAACGGGUGAGUAAUGCAUCGGAACGUACCCAGAGGUGGGGGAUAACGCAGCGAAAGCUGUGCUAAUACCGCAUGUGAUCUGAGGAUGAAAGCGGGGGACCGAGCAGCAAUGUUUGGCCUCGCGCCUUUGGAGCGGCCGAUGUCGGAUUAGCUAGUUGGUGGGGUAAAGGCCUACCAAGGCGACGAUCCGUAGCUGGUCUGAGAGGACGACCAGCCACACUGGGACUGAGACACGGCCCAGACUCCUACGGGAGGCAGCAGUGGGGACUUUUGGACAAUGGGCGCAAGCCUGAUCCAGCAAUGCCGCGUGCGGGAAGAAGGCCUGCGGGUUGUAAACCGCUUUUGGCAGGAACGAAACGGUGUCCGCUAAUACCGGGCGCUAAUGACGGUACCUGCAGAAUAAGCACCGGCUAACUACGU